rnacentral:rRNA from 1 species
CAUGGUUGUCGUCAGCUCGUGUCGUGAGAUGUGGUUAAGUCCCGCAACGAGCGCAACCCUCGACCUUAGUUGCCAGCAUUCAGUUGGGCACUCUAAGGUGACUGCCGGCUAAAAGUCGGAGGAAGGUGGGGGAUGACGUCAAAUCAUCAUGCCCCUUAUGACCUGGGCUACACACGUGCUACAAUGGGCGGUACAAAGGGUCGCGAACCCGCGAGGGGGAGCCAAUCCCAAAAAGCCGCUCUCAGUUCGGAUUGCAGGCUGCAACUCGCCUGCAUGAAGCCGGAAUCGCUAGUAAUCGCGGAUCAGCAUGCCGCGGUGAAUACGUUCCCGGGCCUU